rnacentral:lncRNA from 1 species
GAGGGAAGGAUGCCGGGGGUCUAUUUGGAAACAGCCUCUCUACCCCAGGGUAAAGGUAAGGUUUGUGUACAUACUACCCUCCCCAGACCCCACUGUGUGGGAUUAUACUGGGUUGUUGUUGUUGUUUGAGUUUAGAUAUUGCAACUCAGGAUCAUUUUCUUGCUUGCAUUUAAGAGAAUAUUUUGUUUCUGAAGAACUGUAAUGUAAAGGAUUUGAAAAUGUAGAAUUUAAAGUUUGCUAUUUGUCAAACAAUGUGAAUUUGAAUAAUCUUCAUACUGAAUAACAGCAGUAGAAGCUUGAUUUGUACAAAAAUUCAACUCAUAUUUUCGGAAACUUCUAAAUGCGACAAAGCAAAAGCAAUAGACUUUAAUAGGAAACAUCAAACAAGGCAAAAAGGUUUUGCUGUCUUCUGGGAAAUGGAGGCAGAGUGUCUGGUCAGGGAGGGGGAGAGUAGAGAAAUAACAGUUAGCUGCUCAAUUUGGACACCAAAGUUGAAACCAUUCCACUGCAAGAGCGUCUGGCUGUAUUAAUUGUAUGGAUCCAUACACAUUCCAUAAGGAUGAUGCAAAUAAUGAAAUAUGAAGGCAGUAGAUUAGGGGAAGAAAUAUAAAGAAAAAUAUUACUGGUUACUUCUGACGUGCUUUCGUCUCUCUUGGGAAAUAACUACUACAUCUUUAUAGUAUAUUUCCAUCUCUGCAUGGAAGGAAAUACUACAUCCUUUCCUUUUUGUCACUCACUGAAAUUCACUCUAUGUAAUGUAUACACCCAGUCACCCCCAGAGUAUGUGACAAUAUCUAGUACUACAUUUCAAAUGUGCCAAUCGUUAGUCUGUGACUCAGUUGGGGAUUGUGUUUCUCUAGCGGGAGUGAGUACUGCUAUCCGUCAUAUCCUAUAAUAUGCAUAGGAACCAUCAGCUACACUGUUCUGAAUUUAGAUCCUGAAUUUGACUGCAGGAAGCGUGGAAUAAAUUCAAUGCAGAGGAGCUAAGAUGAGUUUGAGCUAUUAUAAGGUUCCCUUUUGUUGAGAAAGCAGACAGGUCUUGGAAGUGAAGCGACGAUGUACAAGUGGUCAAAUAGCUGUGCAAGUUGGCUCGACUGUAUUCUUUGGUGGACCGAUAUGAUACUGAUAUACUGAGUUGCUUCACAGGGAAUUAGUGACAUUCACGAAUUUACAUGUUUACAAUCUCCGUGUUGUGUCAUUUUUUUUUGUUUUGCAGUUGUCACAUACAGAUGGAAAUCUUCAUGAGCGAUUCCCACUUGCUCUGAAAUAUCAUAGCAGUAGGUUUUGGUGCAUAAUAAGUUGAUUUUGGUGAAACACUGGUGGUGGUUGGCAUGUUGCACAUGAUAUUGUUAUUGAUCAUCUAUCCUUGUAUUCAUGAUAAUUUGGUCUUUUUCUUAUGCAUGAAUAAGAUUUUUGAUCCCAUGUUAGAUUUCUAGGAUUGUGUUUAAAACUGAGGUUUGGAGUUGCCAAUAAUCUCCAUAGAAUUGUUUAUUGAAAGGCCUUGUUUGAUUUGGGGGAAUUAAUCACCUCAUUGUGGUUGGUGUCACUGUAUAGCUGUUUAUAUUUCGAACUAAAACUUGCAUAGCACAAUGCUCUUUUCGAUUCUUCUAGAAUGUUACAGCGAGUUGUCAAGUCUGGAGUAAGAUUGGACGUUGACGCAGUCACAGUUUGACUGAUAGGAGAAGGAAACUAACAGCAAGUUGAGAACUGUUCUUUGUUUAAUUAAGUGUAGUGGCCUCGUUUCUCUAGUUUGUCUGCUUUUCCUGAUCAUUUCUUUCCCAUUUUUCGGUGGGGUAGUGGGCAGAAUAUCGAUAGAUAUGUAUCAUAAACAAUUCUAAGUUCAGAUUCAGUUUGUCAAGAACAAUUACUUAUAUUUAGGAUAGGACAGAAUCAGUAACGAACCAAUAAUGAGGUAAAUUUAUCUAUAUUUCUAUUAUAUUAAAAGUGGGAAGCCUUAAACUAGAAAGUUGAAUUACAUAAAUACCCUUCUAAAUAACUUAAAUAUCCUACUUCUUUUUCAUAAAAAAAAAAUCCAGCCCCAACGAUUCAUACUCCAACAGUUACAACCUUUCCAUAACUUUUUAUUCUUCUGUAAAUAUGAAAAGCUACCACAUUGAGUCACAAUGGUUGGCGAAAUUUGUAGAACUUACCAAACAUAUACGAAGGAUUAGUUUUCCCAAUAAUGUAAAAUUUGCAGAUUCCCAGUUUCAAUCAAUAAGGCUAUUUAUGCAAGUGUGGCUGAGAAAGAAAACAAAAGGAGCAUUAAU